rnacentral:rRNA from 1 species
UGCCAGACUCCUACGGGAGGCAGCAGUGGGGAAUAUUGCACAAUGGGCGAAAGCCUGACCCAGCAACGCCGCGUGAAGGAAGAAGGCCCUCGGGUUGUAAACUUCUUUUAUCAGGGACGAAACAAAUGACGGUACCUGAUGAAUAAGCCACGGCUAACUACGUGCCAGCAGCCGCGGUAAUACGUAGGUGGCAAGCGUUAUCCGGAUUUACUGGGUGUAAAGGGCGCGUAGGCGGGAUGGCAAGUCAGAUGUGAAAUCCGGGGGCUCAACCCCUGAACUGCAUUUGAAACUGUCGUUCUUGAGUACUGGAGAGGUUGACGGAAUUCCUAGUGUAGCGGUGAAAUGCGUAGAUAUUAGGAGGAACACCAGUGGCGAAGGCGGUCAACUGGACAGCAACUGACGCUGAGGCGCGAAAGCGUGGGGAGCAAACAGGAUUAGAUACCCCCGUAACA